AGGCCAAUCAAACCCGGAGAUAUCUCGUUCUCCCCGAAAUAGCUUUAGGGCUAGCGUCGCGCGUUCACCGCCGGAGGUAGAGCACCGGAUGGACGAGGGGGCUUCGCCGCCUACCGAAUCCAACCGAACUCCGAAUGCCGGCGGCCCAGAGCGCGGCAGUCAGAGCAUGUGGGCUAAGCUGUGUGCUCGAGAGGGAAACAGCCCGGACCGCCCGCUAAGGUCCCCAAGUUCCAGCCGAGUGGCAAAGGAUGUGCGUCCGCCCAGACAACCAGGAUGUUGGCUUAGAAGCAGCCAUCCAUUCAAAGAGUGCGUAACAGCUCACUGGUCGAGUGGACAUGCGCCGACAAUACACGGGGCUAAGCUGGACACCGAAGCGGCGGGAUUUUGAUUUACAGAAUCGGUAGGGGAGCUUCCCAUGGGCGGAGAAGCCGGAGGGCGACCGACGGUGGAGCGCAUGGGAGUGAGAAUGCUGGCAUGAGUAGCGAGAGACGAGAGAGUAACUCGUCCGCCGUGAACCCGAGGUUUCCUGGGCAAGGCUAAUCCUCCCAGGGUCAGUCGGGGGCUAAGGCGAGGCCGGGAGGCGUAGCCGACGCGCAGCAGGCAGACAUUCCUGCACCGCGCACGCGGCGCUACGACCGACGGGGCGACGGAUGGGGGUGGCUCGGCGGGGUUCUGGACGUCCCCGUGAUGGAGCGCGGCCCGCGGACCAGGGAAAUCCGGUCCGCACGAGGGCGAGGCUCCGGACGAAGCGACUGAGCGAAGCGAGUGAGCCCGAGGUCCCUAGAAAAACCCCUAGGCAGGCGCGUGCGCGCCCGUACCGCAAACCGACACAGGUGGGUGGGUAGAACAUACCGAGGCGAUCGGGUCAACCAUGGUCAAGGAACUCGGCACAAUGGCCCCGUAACUUCGGGAGAAGGGGUGCCCGCGCGUACGUGAACCGGCUCGCCCGGGGAGCGGAGGCGGGCCGCAGUGGAGAGGCCCAAGCGACUGUUUACCAAAAACACAGGACUCUGCAGAAGCCGCAAGGCGACGUAUAGGGUCUGACGCCUGCCCGGUGCCGGAAGGUCACGCGGAGGAGUUAGCCAUUUCGGCGAAGCCCCGAAGCCAAGCCCCGGUAAACGGCGGCCGUAACUAUAACGGUCCUAAGGUAGCGAAAUUCCUUGUCGGGUAAGUUCCGACCUGCACGAAAGGCGCAACGACUUGGGCGCUGUCUCGACCAUGGACCCGGUGAAAUUGCACUGGUCGUGAAGAUGCGACUUACCCGCGGAAGGACGGAAAGACCCCGUGAACCUUCACUGCAGCUUGGCAUUGGCCGCUGGUCCCGCGUGUAGAGGAUAGGCAGGAGGCUAAGAUCCGGAGGCGCCAGCCCCCGGGGAGCCGCCCUUGGAAUACUGCCCUCGCGCGACCGGCGUCCUAACCCGAGGCCGUCAACCGGCUCGGGGACCGUGCCAGGCGGGCAGUUUGACUGGGGCGGUCGCCUCCUAAAGGGUAACGGAGGCGCGCGAAGGUCCGCUCGGGACGGUCGGCAACCGUCCUUUUGAAUGCAAGAGUACAAGCGGGCUUGACUGCGAGGCCCACAAGCCGAGCAGGUGCGAAAGCAGGCUCUAGUGAUCCGGCGGCCCCGAGUGGGUGGGCCGUCGCUCAACGGAUAAAAGGUACUCCGGGGAUAACAGGCUGAUCUUGCCCAAGAGUCCACAUCGACGGCAAGGUUUGGCACCUCGAUGUCGGCUCAUCGCAUCCUGGGGCUGGAGCAGGUCCCAAGGGUACGGCUGUUCGCCGUUUAAAGCGGUACGCGAGCUGGGUUCAGAACGUCGUGAGACAGUUCGGUCCCUAUCCUCCGUGGGCGCAGGAGAAUCGAUGGAGGCUGCCCCCAGUACGAGAGGACCGGGGUGGACGCACCUCCGGUGAACCGGUUGUCGACCAACGGCACGGCCGGGUAGCCGCGUGCGGCGCGGAUAACCGCUGAAGGCAUCUAAGCGGGAAGCCGUUCCAGGGAUUAGUUCUCCUUCCGGUAAGGGCCCAGGUAGACUACCUGGUCGAUAGACGGCAGGUGCAAGGACGGCGACGUCCUCAGCCGAGCCGCACUAAUCGCCCGAGCUCUUCCGGAA
rnacentral:rRNA from 1 species